rnacentral:rRNA from 1 species
CUACGGGAGGCAGCAGUGGGGAAUAUUGGACAAUGGGGGAAACCCUAAUCCAGCAAUGCCGCGUGUGUGAAGAAGGCCUGCGGGUUGUAAAGCACUUUCGGUUGGGAGGACUGCUUCUAGCACUAAUAUUGUUGGAAGUUGACGUUACCUUCAGAAGAAGCACCGGCUAACUCCGUGCCAGCAGCCGCGGUAAUAGGGAGGGUGCAAGCGUUAAGCGGAAUUACUAGGCGUAAAGCGCGCGUAGGCGGCUAGAUCAGUCGGGUGUGAAAGCCCCGGGCUUAACCUGGGAACUGCAUCCGAUACUGUCUAGCUUGAGUACAGGAGAGGAGAGUGGAAUUCCACAUGUAGCGGUGAAAUGCGUAGAUAUGUGGAGGAACACCAAUGGCGAAGGCAGCUCUCUGGCCUGAUACUGACGCUGAGGUGCGAAAGCGUGGGGAGCAAACAGGAUUAGAUACCCUCGUAGUC